UUAAACUCGGUGGAUAAAGUAU
rnacentral:siRNA from 1 species